rnacentral:rRNA from 1 species
GCUUACGGCCAUACCACCCUGAAUGCGCCCGAUCUCGUCUGAUCUCGGAAGCUAAGCAGGGUCAGGCCUGUUUAGUACUUGGAUGGGAGACCGCCUGGGAAUACCAGGUGCUGUAAGCU